rnacentral:lncRNA from 10 species
GGGGUUUCACCGUGUUAGCCAGGAUGGUCUAGAUCUCUUGACCUCGUGAUCUGCCCGCCUCCGCCUCCCAAAGUGCUGGGAUUACAGGCAUGAGCCACCACGCCCGGCCAAAAAAAAAAAACUUUUGUGUUUUGUUUGUUUGUUUGUUUUCUUUUUGAGACGGAGUCGCUCUGUCACCCACGCUGGAGUGCAGUGGCGCGAUCUCGGCUCACUGCAAGCUCCGCCUCCCGGGUUCAUACCAUUCUCCUGCCUCAGCCUCCCGAGUAGCUGGGAUUACAGGCGCCCGCCACCAUGCCCAGCUAAUUUUUUGUAUUUUUAGUAUAGAUGGGGUUUCACCGUGUUAGCCAGGAUGGUCUCGAUCUCCUGACCUCGUGAUCCGCCCAUCUCAGCCUCCCAAAGUGCUGGGAUUACAGGCAUGAGCCACCGUGCCCGGCCAAAAAAAAAAUCUUUUAAAAGUAAUUUUUUUCACAGGUUCUGAGGAUUGGGGAAAGAACAGAAAAAGAAGAAAAUUUAAAAUAAAAAUAAUUUUUUAAAGCAUCAAGGUAGUCAUCAAAGUCAAGACAAAUCAGAACUCUGUUGGCUUCUUUUACACUUAUUUUACUAUUUUAUAUUGCAUUUAUUUUGUUUUUGUUUGUUUGUUUGUUUUGAGAUAGGGUCUUGCUCUGUCACCCAGCUAGAGUUCAGUGGCGUUACCACGGCUCACUGCAACCUCGACUUCGCCAGCUGAAGUGAUCCUCCCACUUCAGCCUCCCAAGUAGCUGGGACUAUAGGCACAUGCCACCGUGCCUGGCUAAUUUUUGUAUUUUUUUGUAGAGAUGGGGUUUUGCCAUAUUGCCCAGGCUGGUCUUGAAUUCCUGAGCUCAAGCAAUCCA